rnacentral:lncRNA from 1 species
AUCCAUGUUGUAAGUGAAAACAAAUCAAGAGAGAGCGCCAGUGCCGUAGACGACAGACUCGGGAUUCAACACGCCGUCAACAGGCUCAAAUUUUGGCUGAAACUGGCGGCAUGAACCCUUAACACAGAAAAAAAGAAAAAAGAAGAAAAGGGUAAAGUCUUACACUUAGUCUCCAAAACGAAAUCACUGAAGAACAGAAUGGAGGAGACUCAGGCUGGCACGAAUUCAUAGGAAAGAGAUCAGAGGGAUUAAGAAUAACUAGAAGGUGAGGAGAGGUGGAAGGCUGAAUGGGUAGAGUUCUGAAGAACACGAGAAGUGGCUGAAAAAAAUAGAGGAUGUGUUGCUUGGAAAAUAAAGCUGGGGAAAUGUGAGUGCUCUCUUCAAAUACUGAUAGGGCCGUUUGUCAAAAAGAAGGAGGAGAUGUUGCAGAAGGCAGUCCCAGUGACAGGGGGACAGACUUGUUCAGCAAGAGAAGGAAGCAUUUCCUAGCAAUGACAGCCAUUUAACAACGGCAUGGGCUGUCUUGUUGCAGUAGUGAGCUCCCCGUGGGGGCAAGACCUGGUCAAAGUCAUCGGCAGACAGACAUUUUGCGGGAAGAAGUCGAGGAGCCUUUAUUUCUAGCACUUAAUUAUAUCGAACACCAAGAGCUGCAACAGACCAACGUGAUGAGAAUGCACACCGCUGGGAAACAGCUCCUGGUCUGCCUGCCCCGGGGGAAGGUAGAAAGGUGCAGAGAAACUUGGCUGAGCUUCAGAUAGCUCUAACAACCACCAUUUGCAGGAGCUGAUCUAAAAGGGGAAACCUGCAGAAGACAUUUCCUUUGAAGCGCACACAGAAUUUAAGGAGAAACAAAAAGGUGCCUGGCAGAGUCUGGCUGGGUUCCAGUUUGUUAUCCUUCUGAAAAGCCAGUGGCUCCAGCGCUCCGGAGGCUGCUGGUGUGUGACAGGGACGGCGCGGUGCUGAGCCGACUUGGGAAGGAGGUGGAACAGCUCCACUCCAAUCACACACGCAGGAGACCGUGACUGACAAGCAGAAAAGAUCAAAAUGCGUAAGAAAAGACAUUUUUAAAGCACCUGUGUUGGAAACAUAAACAACUGGGGGGGCAGGGGGAGGUUAAGGGGAAGGAAAUACAGUUUGAAAAAAAAAUCAGUGUCUUUCAUGAGGAGAGUUUAAUACUUUUCAAAAAACAAAAAGGAGAGAAAGAGAAAGAAGAAAAAACAAGGGACGGGUCGGUGGAUUCAGGUGUAAAAAGACCUGUGAACUAAAGUCCACUGGGCUUGGAGAGGCUACUCCGGGGAGCCACUCACUCCCUUCCACUCUGUUAUCUUCUUAGAGCCAGGCU